UUACACAAUAAAGAGAGGGUUUGAAGACAGCAUUCUGGUAGUUUGGAGUAUGUAUUGUAAAUCGUUUGUUUUUUAAAUGUGUUUAAGUAUGCGUCCACUGUAGUGGACACUAUGCAUGAAAUUGUUAAAUUAUUAAAAGUAAACACAGGGAAAUGGAAACACAGCAGCAACAAUAUGCAGUAUUGAAUGUUAUUGUUUUUGGUCACUGUCUGUCAGAUGUUAGUCGCAUGUUGUGUUUCUGUCUCUUCCUAGUCUAAAUAAUCUGAGAAGUAUUGCUUUACUGCAUAUAAUCUUAGUUCCUCUGUUUUUCAUUCUACAGCACUUGCAGUCAGAUGUGCAUCGGCAAUUUGUGGAGGACAUUAAUAACUAUGCUGUUGUAGACCAGUUGGUGGAUGGCAUGACUGCAGAUUUUUUACGUUGUCCCGAUCAACAGGAUGACAAACGAAUCACUGGGUCGCCACACUGCCCUCCCGCACCUGUAAGACCUUCUGCACAGUUGGAGCACCUGACAAGAAGUGAAACAGAAAGAGCCUGCCAAGCUAUUACCAACCAAGCUACUGAUCAUCUGUUGGCAACCAUAAGCACAAACACUGUAAAUACCGAACAAGCGUUUGAUCCUGUUUGUGACCCUCUAAUCCAGGAAACUGUUUUAGAUGGACCACCUCAGACAUCCUUUGAAUCCAAAAUUGUGGACGAAAAAGUAAACGUCCAUUUGCUCUUACAACCAAGACCUGAAACCCAUAUCCUCAAUCUCUGCCUAAAUGACACUUCCUGUGCUAUUCCUGACUGUGAACUCCUAUCGCAAAUUACAAAACCUGUUUCAUAUUCUUCACACAAUACUGAAUUGGACGGUCAGCUGGCAGGAGUUGACCAGUUUUGUCCAAAACAGCUUCAAAGGCCUGCUCCUUCUGUAGUUGACAAUGAAUGUUUGUCACCUUCUUCAAAUAUUCCCCAGCAGCAGCUCUGCAAAUGCCAUAAUAGAAAAUCUGCUCUUGCUGAGCGAAGAGAUGUCCAAAUCCCGGCUGAAAGUAUUGAGUUACCUUUAAACGUAUGUUUGACAGAAAGGGACCAAAGCACAGAGAGAAAGUCAUCAGUGGAUGUGUCCUCUUGCUUUGUAUCAUCCCACUGUUGCACAUACCUGUCGACUGCAAUAAACCCCAGGAAGCGUAGCAGGUCCUUCACCUUCAGCCCCAGGCGAUCAAAGAAGAUGAGGAUGUGCUGGUGGUUGGGACAAAAGUCAGAUCCCACAUAUCAGAAUGUUGCCAUCAGUAAAAAAUAUGGUGCAACACACAGAGCACCAUUAAUUCAGUGUGGACUGCUGUCUGUGGCAGAGAAAAGUGUGGCCAAUGUUCCACUCCCCAUCAAUCCUCCCCCAGCAAAGCCCUUUCAGCAGAGCUUUCACACCAACACGACUUUUCGAGAAGACUGCCUUUUUAUCCAUCAGGAUCAACGUAGUAACUGUGAAGCUCAGGAACGGCAGGUAACUGAACCCUACACAAACAGAACCUCUAAGUUUGAAUUUCCUGCUCCUGCAGUUACUAGAGAUAUGUCCUCAGAACUGGGGCCGCCUCAGCUGCACCCAUUUUAUCAUGAGGAUAUUCAGGUUCAGCAGACUUUUCCUUACCCUCCUAAACUUGUCCCUGCUGUCUCUCUUAUUUUUCCCUCCGAGAAACCUGCCCAAAUCCCCGCAAGUCAUGAGUCCAGCACUUCCCUUCUUUCCCAGUCCUUUUCUUCCGUCUGCAUUGAGUCUGCUCUCAUCCCAGACAUCACCUUUUCCCCAACCUCUUCAGAGUCAGACUGGGACUCAGGCCUACUGUCCCGCUUGGCACCUUCAGUUCAGCUCCAGCCCAGAGGAGGACACUAUGAGCAGGACCUAGGGAAUUUGCUGCAGAGGUCAUGUGUUGGGGUGCAGGAUGGAAGCUAUGCGUCACAGCUGUGUUCCGUGCUGCAGCCCACUGUUUCUUCUAACACUGCUUUUAGAGACGCAGUGAACCUAAACACACUCUACAGGCCAAUCGAAACCGUGGACAGACCGAUCAUUCAGAGCCUGGGAAUGUAGCGCUUUAAUGGAAUUUAACUGAAUCAUGAAAUAUCUUAUGCUAAAAGUGAUAUGCUGUAUUAUGAGAGUUACAGCUUAGAGCUUGCUUGCCGGUUAGGGAUGCUUUAUCAUCUUUCUAUUUUAUGGCCUUAGGGAAGUUGAAAAUAGCAAAAGCAGCCAGGGUGGUAAUUAGAAAAAACAGUUUCUGCUGAAAUCACUUGAUCUGGCAGUUGUUUAGUAAGCAGUUCCUUGAAUCCUUAUAGAACAUUUGAGGAAUAACGCUCCACAUGUCUAAGUUGUUCCAGACCGUCUGCCUCAGAUGCAAAAAAAUAAGCUCUUUCAUAAUCAUUAAUAAUCAAUCAGUUACACAUCUCACACUGAUGCUACUCUAUUGUGCAGCUCGGAUGUCCUGUCUUAUAAUUAGGUGGCUUUGAAUGCCUCUCUCUGCUUUCCACAUCUCCUCUGCUGACCUUUUGGCCGACCUGGGCUGUACAGACCUCCUCCCUGCAGGUUCACUCCGAUCUUUUCAUCAGCAGUAUACAGGAACAGGCUCUGGUUUUGAGAAUUUAAUGAGGUUUCUCCGGUGGGGGCAAUACUCAAUUAGUUUAAGUGCUGUGUCUGGCCUGUUUCCCAUUUACGGAUAGUGGCGGUGGUGCGACAGACGUGUAGUGAAUAAGCUGGUGUGUCAGCAUUGCGUUUUUGCACAAAAUGUGAGAGAACAGACAAACUUUGAUAAAUGGAGGAAUAUUUGAGUAUUUGAUCACUACCUACUCAAACAGUGUCUGAGAUUUAUGGGACAUUGUUGUAGAUGACUGCACCAGGACCUUAAUAAAAUAUGCAGUGUGACUACUGACA
ensembl:lncRNA